rnacentral:pre_miRNA from 1 species
UGGCUACAAAAUAACUUAUUUUAUAGCCACUUUGAGUUACGAUAAUUACUAUAUUAAUUUACAAAAUUAUAGUAACUUCUUACUAAGUGGUUUACUAUAACAUUACGGUAAAUAUCCCCAUGUGUUAUAGUAACUCAACUAUCGUAAAUAUGUAUACAUAUUAUCGUAAAUUAAUAUAUAAAAUUAUCGUAAAUGGAGGUGGCUACAGAAUAACAUAUUUUGUAGCUA